GGCCGCCUGGCGAAAUGGCAUCGCGUCUGACUACGAUGUGUGAUCAGGAGAUUGCAGGUUCGAGCCCUGCGGUGGUCA